GUUAGAAAAUAUGCAACGUAGAAAGCAUCGGUUCUAAUCCGAUUACCGAAGUUAAACUACCUUAAGAUGGGUUAGUGCCUACCUGGCUGAUCGGCGGGGAACACCCAGUGUUGCUGACC
rnacentral:rRNA from 1 species